rnacentral:sRNA from 19 species
UAAAAGAAUCGGUAGGUGAGACUACCAUAGGGAUACGGGUUGCUACCGCAAAGCAGUGGAGACACUGUGCGCUGGUCAACAGUUCUUGUCGUGAAGGCAAAAACUAAUGCAAUUACAUGGCCCUAUGAUGUUGAAGCUUGAACGAGAUAAAGUUA